GACGAACGCUGGCGGCGUGCUUAACACAUGCAAGUCGAACGGUAAGGCCCUUCGGGGUACACGAGUGGCGAACGGGUGAGUAACGCGUGAGUAACCUGCCCUUCACUCUGGGAUAACAGUUGGAAACGGCUGCUAAUACCGGAUAUUCAGCUCCUGUCGCAUGGUGGGGGUUGGAAAGUUUUGGUGGUGGAGGAUGGGCUCGCGUCCUAUCAGCUUGUUGGUGGGGUGAUGGCCUACCAAGGCGUCGACGGGUAGCCGACCUGAGAGGGCGACCGGCCACAUUGGGACUGAGAUACGGCCCAAACUCCUACGGGAGGCAGCAGUGGGGAAUAUUGCACAAUGGGCGGAAGCCUGAUGCAGCAACGCCGCGUGCGGGAUGACGGCCUUCGGGUUGUAAACCGCUUUCAGCAGGGACGAAGCGCAAGUGACGGUACCUGCAGAAGAAGCACCGGCUAACUACGUG
rnacentral:rRNA from 1 species